UUAAAUUGAAGAGUUUGAUCAUGGCUCAGAUUGAACGCUGGCGGCAGGCCUAACACAUGCAAGUCGAACGGUAGCACAGAGAGCUUGCU
rnacentral:rRNA from 7 species